rnacentral:rRNA from 1 species
CGUGUGGUUCUAUUUUGUUGGUUUCUAGGACCGCCGUAAUGAUUAAUAGGGACAGUCGGGGGCAUCAGUAUUCAAUUGUCAGAGGUGAAAUUCUUGGAUUUAUUGAAGACUAACUACUGCGAAAGCAUUUGCCAAGGAUGUUUUCAUUAAUCAGUGAACGGAAGUUAGGGGAUCGAAGACGAUCAGAUACCGUCGUAGUCUUAACCAUAAACUAUGCCGACUAGGGAUCGGACGGGAUUCUUUUUUGACCCGUUCGGCACCUUACGAGAAAUCAAAGUCUUUGGGUUCUGGUGGGAGUAUGGUCGCAAGGCUGAAACUUAAAGGAAUUGACGGAAGGGCACCACCAGGAGUGGAGCCUGCGGCUUAAUUUGACUCAACACGGGGAAACUCACCAGGUCCAGACACAUUAAGGAUUGACAGAUUGAGAGCUCUUUCUUGAUCAUGUGGGUGGUGGUGCAUGGCCGUUCUUAGUUGGUGGAGUGAUUUGUCUGCUUAAUUGCGAUAACGAACGAGACCUUAACCUGCUAGAUAGCCAGGCCAGCCUUUGCCGGUCGCGGGCUUCUUAGAGGGACUAUC